UACGUAGGGUGCAAGCGUUGUCCGGAUUUAUUGGGCGUAAAGAGCGUGUAGGCGGCCAAGUAAGUCUGCUGUGAAAACUCGAGGCUUAACCUCGAGCUGUCGGCGGAAACUAUUUGGCUAGAGUCCGGAAGAGGAGAAUGGAAUUCCCGGUGUAGCGGUGAAAUGCGCAGAUAUCGGGAAGAACACCCGUGGCGAAGGCGGUUCUCUGGGACGGUACUGACGCUGAGGAGCGAAAGCGUGGGGAGCGAACAGG
rnacentral:rRNA from 1 species